rnacentral:rRNA from 1 species
CCCUUAGAUGUUCUGGGCCGCACGCGUGCUACACUGAGUGGAUCAGCGGGUCAGGUUGCGCGAAAGUGUUUCCUAAUCUUGAAAUCCGCUCGUGAUGGGGAUUGACGGUUGCAAUUUUCCGUCAUGAACGAGGCAUACCUUGUAAGCGCGGGUCAUCAUCCCGCGCUGAAUACGUCCCUGCCCUUUGUACACACCGCCCGUCGCUCCUACCGAUUGAGUGGUCCGGUGAGGCUUUGGGAUCUGAGCGGAAAGAGCGUUUCGCUGUUUCUGCUCGGAAAACUCAGUCGAACCUUAUCAUUUAGAGGAAGGAGAAGUCGUAACA